UUUAUUGCAACCGCACGUAGGAACCAGUGAAUGAAUACCGUGUUCUGUUUGACUUCCACGCAGCUGCCCCGCCUGCUCUGCUGCACUCCACCCGGGAGAGCCAAGCAGUGCGUCACCACCAGGUCACCACGGCCGCGCCGCGCCGCCGAGGGCCGCUCCCGUGUCUUCAGGGUCGUCUACAAAGUAACCGUGAGGCACGCUUGCUCGUCGGCUGCAGCCCACCGGGACGUCCGCGGAUCAUCCUCUCGCCAACGUUUCAGCUCCAGUAGAACGUUAUUCAAUUAUGUGGAGAUGUUCAGAUAUGCUCGUUUCUCCACUUGCUUCUCCAGUUCCACUCCAGUCAGCAGGAAUUCACUGCGGUAGGCGAGGACAUCUCGAUUCCAGGACACUUUUGGACUCGACACCCCGUCAUAGGUGUCUGCUAUCAACUCAGCUUCGCUGCCUACCGGAGUAUCCGGGAAAGGUUGUUUCUUGGUGACGAUGCCUCAGAAUUUGGUACCUAAUUCUCUGAAAGCCGCCACUUUAUGGAUUCCUUUGACUGCAUAAGAGUCAGGUUCUUUCUUGGUGACCAUGCUGCAGGCCAACAGCUCCCACAACUCAAAUAAUUUGGUGCAAAGUUAUCUGGAACACUUUGGAUGCAUUGGCUGCAAUAGUGUCCGUUCGAGGCAAGUUCCAGUUCGACCCCCCUGACAUCAGGAAUUCACUGUAGCCAGCAAAAACAUCUCAACCCUGAUACUCGCAAGACCUGCAGGACUCUACACACCGACAUCCGACAUUGCUUCCUGCUUCUAACUCUGCUUCGCUGUCUCCAAGAAUAACCAGAAAAGGUAAGCAACUGUCUUCACUAA